AUUUCCAAGACGGGGGGAUACGUUGCAGAUUUGCGACUCUCAUCUCCUUUGACUGCUAAUGGAGGUUUCUUUUACGAAAGUUCGAGCAAAGAAUAAGCUGGAAUACAAUCUAGUAUGGUAUUCGUACUCGUAACCUUUAGAAAAUAAGGCAAUAAGAGGAACGAAGAAAACGCUGGCAAAUGAACAAAGGCGCCAUUGAUUACGAGCGACUCGCGUAACUCACUGGAAGUCGAAUUUUGCAUGGUAGUUUCAGGUCUAGCCAAUUUUCUCCAAGUUAAAGUAGUCGAUCAGUUGGAUCAUAACCUUCGGUUUGACGGAUUCUCAGGGUUACUCAAUCUCAUUUAGUCGACACUUUCUUAAAACUUUACACGUGCAAAACAUUAAAACCAAAAUUAACGUCCUGCUCAUGUACGGUGUACGUGGCGACCGUGGCACUCGCGUUUGUGUUCCUUGCCAGCGUUUCGUCGUUUCUUUCGUUGCUUAAUUUUCUAAUGGGUACCAAUACCAUACUUGAUGGUAUCCCAACUUAUUCUGUGCUCAAUCUUCCGUAAACCAAACCUCUGCUUGCAAUCAAGAGAAGAGGGUUAGAGAUAUGCAACGCGUCCGGGUGUCAUAUUGGAAAUUUCAGCUAAACUAAGAUUCAUUACGAACUUGAAUCGGUCCCUUUGAAAGACCUUGGCUUUUCCAAAUGUCUUUCCCUGUUGAUGUUACAUGAGGUCAGUAAAGGGGUCAGUAGGGGGUCAGCUGUCCUGGGGAGUCAGUGUUUGGUCGAAACCCGCGAAAAACGUGAAAGAGCGCGUUCUUCUUCUCUUCCAGUCUCCCCUUCUUUCAUUCGCGCUCUCCCACCCCCUCCCCCAUUUUAGGCCAAGCUGGAGAUUUUUUCAAGCGGUCUCGUCUCGAGGGUAGAGGGGUAGGCCAAAUCAAACUUAGUACACGCGCAAGGACCCAUGGGGAGACACAAUGGUUCGCGUACACAACGGCCUGUAAUUAUAACUUCGUUGGUUGCUCACCUCGUUGAGACUUUCGCCUGAAUAUAAAUGACCAUCAAUAGAGUUUAUCUUCGAAUGGCUAGGGGAUGUUACUCUUUCGAAGCUGAAAGCUACAUUUUAAGUUUGAGCCCAUCAGAGCAAGAUUGAUGUUCAAGAGCGUUUUCAAUACUUGGACGCAUAAUUGGUUUGCAAGAUGUACGGCACUGUUAAUACUCUGAAAAGGGUAUUACAUUGCACUGGGCUGUCAAGGUGUUAUUGCUCUCCUGUCAGGAAAGUUGUCAACCAGGUCAUGAAGUCAUUAGGACGUGAUUUUAGCUAACGACGCCCGGCGAAGAUGGAACUGGAUAUGGAAAUUAACACACUUAUUUAAAACGUUUUGCAUGAGGUUGGCCAGAUUGUCAAAUUCCUUGUUUAAAGAAGAUAUAUUGAAGCUCGCUGUAGAAUGCAGAUUAUGAGGAUUUUGAGAAAACAGCAGCAACACAAUGAGAGAUUUGGAAACUGAGAUAAGGAACUUUCGUUUUUUCCUCGAUAGUCGACAACCUAGGUUUGAACAGGCUAACGAAAGUAUUUUCACAGCAACAGUUGCUUUUAAUAAGUAUGUCUAAAAAUAUAAGUUACUGUCUUAAAUCAUAUUGCACGAGAUUCAGUUGUUUUCACGAAAACUGAACUUUCUUUAUCUAGUACAAAUGUAACUACAAUUCCAUAUUUAGUUGCAAUUACUACAAAAUCAUUUUUCAACUUUAUUGCAGUUUGCCCAUGGAUGGCACUAUUAAACUGAAGUGUUCUAGUUUUAACUAUAAACUGCAACGUAGAGCGCGUGAUUUGAACUGAUUGAUUGCCCGCGAGUGUACCCGCCUGCCAUUUAUAGCAUAUUUUGAAAAAUCCUAGACGACUGACAAAGUUGGGCAUACGAGAGUUUCUGGGCCUGGUUGCCUUUCUGUUUUUCAGAGGGCGGAAACUUCUAGGAUUAAUUUAGGAUAAAUCAAGGAUUUAUCUAGGAUUUAAUCACUAUAAAGCGCUUAGGAAAGCAAUGCAUAAGCUAUUAAAUUUUAUUUGUAAAUUCAUUUAUCGAGUAAGACAUUGCUUUCAACGUAUAUAUUGAGAGAUAUUACACUGAUCAUAGAAACGCUGGCAUUAGUACUUUCUUGGUAAAGUGAUCAUGCUAGCCUCGUACGUUAACCGAUAAAGUUUGGCUUCCUUUGAAUGGAAAGAAACCUCGAAUGUACAAGAAGGGGAGUGAGACCAAACACAAAUUGAAAAACAAACCCGAAGAUAUAAACUCAGAUUUUCAGGAUGUCACGUGAUAACUGUAGCGGAAACUCUCAUUAUUCUUCAUUUAACGCAAAUGAAACGAAAUUAAUUUGUUCUUCGUAACCACAAGAUAUAUUCUGCUCACGAAUUUCACCAAAGAGUGAGGACUAUUCUGAGAUUUACAAUUUCCCUUUGUUUCAGGGCAUUUAUUUGCCGUUGUUGUAGCUUGCGUUAAAUCCCUGAUAUUUAUUCUUUUUUUUCUUUCAACUGGAUAAAUGGGUCCCCCUUCUAGCACAAUCAUCGACAGAACGUACCUUGAUAUAAAUAGCCGAAAAUUAACUACCCAAAAUUAUGAUUUUGUACUCGGCAAUUGACAGACCAAAACUGAGAUAGAAAUGACACAUAGCAAUAUGAGACAUACUUAACGACAUACAACUGAUGUCUUUUCAUUUGAUUCGAAUUCAUUUGAAAGUUUGGAGAAAAUUGAGAAAAUCUGAAGAGAUUACUUUAUGUGAUUAAAUUAUAGUUCAUCAAAGCUUUUUCCCAUAAAUCAUUGACACAUUUCAUGCACUUUUAAGAAAGGCUAGCGACAUUGUCCAUUUAUGUUUACAAAAGGAAGUUCUUAACGUCUUCAUAUGUUCUUAGUUCAAUCCAUUGUUUUGACUCAAGUGACAUGUUUUUUUCAAACAGUACAACAUCGGUAGAGUGUUUGGAGAUUUAUAAAUAAACACUGAAAAUGACUUGCAUUUAAAUUGCACUUUGUUUUGCUUUAAUUGCUUUGAGAGCAGCUGGGAAGAACGAUUCUUUGCUGUUUAUAAACAUGGCAGCAAAUGAUCUAGCGUAUACAUGCUAAAGAAUCGUAACAUCUUCGAAAAUUUCAAGUACACUCGAAAAUGCGUGUAAAAAAUACUUACGACAAUGUAACACAAAUUCUUUUGUAAGCUCUCGUUCAUAUGUCAGUUGUGUAGAUGUGUGUGUCCCUAGCUUAGAAAAUAGGCAACUUUAAAGGUUUUUAAAUUCAUUGUUUACAAAACUUAGUUAAGCCCUACUCCAUUAGUUUUAUCUAAAUUUGCAUAGAGAAAAAAAGGAACUUCUAUAACAUAUAUUAGUCCUUAUACAUUGCAGUUAUUUUAUUCGGUUGUGUCACAACUGCAUGUACAAGAAGCAGGACUACUUUUUACCUGCUCUUCUAACAGGCGAGAUCGAGAAAAAGCCAACAUGAACGUUAUAAAUAUGUUUUUACAACGGGUAAAAUCUGGUAUUCUUCAGUUCGUCGAAUUAUCAUUUGAGGUUACUCAAAAUAAAACUUCACAGAACAUGUAUGAAAAUCGGGCGGUUCUAUAUUCUAAAGCGCGGUCUCCUCAAGGUUAUUUGCGAGAAGGCUCUUUUCAACUGAACAAAGUAAAAAAGCAACUUUCUUGAAUCGAUAAACUAUGCGACACAUAAUAGAAUAAAAUCAUUCAGUGCAAAUAAUCGUUUGUUCACCUUUCUUAGUAAUUCCUUGUACCUUCCUGGUGUCAAUCAAUAUGCCAGAUAUCACAUCCCAUCCCUUGAAAGAGGAUAACAAGAAAAAUCCGUGUGUGCUUGCCAGGGUAACAGAGCGAAUCCAGUAACAGUGAAUCAAGAGUGUUCCGGUUUCGCUUUAAAUGCUACUGCGCAUGUCAGUAGAGACGUUGUGGGAGUUUUGCUUACACCCUUCUCCUACGCAUUAUUUCGAAAUUUUCAUGCAAAUUUUAAUCCAGAAAUGACGUCCCGAAUAAAACCUUUUACUCCAGCCAAAGGCUAUUUUUGACCUGCAAACAACCGUUUCCUCUUCACAAGCAGUUCCUCUGCUUAAUUGCUGGUUUCUGUGUUCCAAGUUUUGAUUGGCCGCGCCAGAGGACCUUUGAAGUGUUUGUAAAUAACGCGCGUGAAUGUCAUUUGUCUGGCGUCAGCUUUAACGCGAAUUUAUUUGAACCACUAAAGCUAAAAGUCUAACACGCACAGAAAACAAUAGUUAGAUGUUGAUGGAUUUAGCAAUGCUGUUUUUAUCAGUGCAAACAAAUCGUAUUGCAACUUUAACACAAGCCAGCAGUUUCAUUACGUCUUUAAUUUAAGUUCAUACAUUUUAAUCCACCUGAUUUUGCAAUUACACGAAGAAGUGAGAAUGAUUUCAAAUUGUCAGAGCUAUUUCCCUCGGGCAAUAAGAUGAAUUAGAAGGAACUUGAAAAAUCAACGGUUGAAUAAAUAAUGUUCAGGUGUUAGUACAGUUAUCUGGAAAUACGUUAAGUAAGCAGACACGAUUGAAUCCGCUUAAUAGAAGAUAACCUCCGAACAAGGCCACUUAGUAUAUGAGAGAACAUAACGACACGGUUUCAACAAGCUGCCCCUUAAAUUCUUGAAGGUCUAAGACUUGUUACCAUGACAACUGUUGGUAAUUGACCGUCGCCCCGAACUGGUCUGGCGACCGAACAUUUUUGCAGGUGCCUGAAAAACAGCCAAAAUGAUAACAAGCAAAUGGGUGUCCGUGUAAAAUGCAUACGUCGUUGAUUGUCAACCUAACGUCACAUGAUGACCUUGACAAUCAUAAGACAGGUGAUGCGAAAUGGUAAGAUGGAAAUGGUGAUGCGAAAGGACGAGCCCACCGAUGAAAAACAUACAUUUGCCACCAAAUUUUUCCAUAGCGAAUUUGAAAAGCGGAUGCUCUCAGCGCUACAUGCUAGCUUUCCCAGAGGGCAUAAAGUCAGUGUUUUUCUUGAAUUAUCUCCAAUUAACUAUUGGUGAAUUAACGUCAGCUUUUCAAAUUCGCUAGGUGGUUAAUUUACCUUCAGCAACUUUACAAUGAAUGCCUCUCAAAUUUCUACCAUCUCACUGAAUAAAACCGUUUUCAAAAUCGACUGUCAUCGAGUCUUUCGUGAGCCCAGGCUCAAGCUUCCCUUUACAAAGUGUCUGAGCCGCAGAGAGUGGAACGGUUUAUCUGUCUUUGCGUUUCCUCGGGACCGUUUUAAAUGUUUGAAAGAAUGUGUUUUUCUUGUGAUUCAAUUGUACCUUUGGUAUAACUUGGCAUUUUUCUUUGUUUCAUAUGUCAUGAUUAUAAUAUAAAUACCAUACACUUUGAGCUGGAGGGCGAAUCAACGACAAGUGAUAAUGUAUAGCGAUACUUCCUGGGGCGGAUACAGGAUUUUUGAGAAGCGGGGUUCCAGAUACGGACUGCCGAAGGCGGUUCCUUUGCAGGUGUCGGGGGCAUCUACGCCGGAAAAUUCUUAAAAUAUAUCGAGGUCCUCGAAAAUGGGGCGUUCUGAGUCAGCGUUUCAUAAUGUCUCAUUUGUUUUAAUUUAGGGGUUCGUCCGAGUCCCCCCUCCCGAACCCCCCUUGAUCCGCCCCAGAUUUCAGUUUACACUAAAGGGUCCUAGUAAGGGAUCUAUUUGUGCAGCGUUUUUUGUUUCCCAAUGUCUUCAGAAUUCCAGAUUUUAUACUGACUAGGAAAAACCGGUUUCCUACAGCACACGUGCUUUACUUGUUUCUGUUUUAUUUCCGGUAGGUGGUUAGAUUAUUGGCUCGUCACUCACUGCACCAUUUGUAACAGUUUGUUAUGACGGUCUUUGGAUAUUCGAUCGUAGUUAGCAUAUAUUUUUAAGAUCUUAUUUCUCCGUUUUCUAUUUAGUUUUAUAGUAAAAUUUCGAUUGAGAAGAUAAUAAUAAACACGAAAGACCAUGUUUCACCACAUUUCCAAACACGUCGAAGUUCAUGGGCAAUA